rnacentral:rRNA from 1 species
GUGUCAGCCGCCGCGGUAAUACGUAGGGUGCGAGCGUUAAUCGGAAUUACUGGGCGUAAAGCGUGCGCAGGCGGUCCGUUAAGACAGUCGUGAAAGCCCCGGGCUUAACCUGGGAACUGCGAUUGUGACUGGCGGGCUAGAGUGUGUCAGAGGGGGGUGGAAUUCCACGUGUAGCAGUGAAAUGCGUAGAUAUCUGCAGGAACACCAGUGGCGAAAGCGGCGCGCUGGACCGCAACUGACGCUGAGAGACGAAAGCUAGGGGAGCAAACAGGAUUAGAUACCCUGGUAGUCCUAGCCCUAAACCAUCAGGACUUGGCGUGGGCCCCGUCCGGGGUCCGUGUCGUAGCCAACGUGAUAAGUCCUGCGCCUGGGGAGUACGGUCGCAAGGCUGAAACUCAAAGGAAUUGGCGG